CCCUUCAUUCUCUGUCUAUAUUAUUAGAUUAUUAUAAUGAAUACGGACGACAGUUGACUCCACCCGGUACGUCCGUUCCUGGCCCUGCGGAACCUAUACAUCAGUCUGUUGUUGUAUGGCAGCCCAACCCCAGUUACGCGUCCGACGCGUCGGUCUUCGGGAGAUCGUUGGGAUCCGGCGGGUACUUGAUUGAAACGUGGCCACCGAGUUUCCUGCACCAGUCCGACGCGUCGGAUGGCAGUAGACCGUCGGGGUCAGGCGGG